UGAGCGCGCCGGACGGCCGCGGGUACCGAGCGAUCGGGACCUGAGGAAAGUCCGGGCUCCACACGGCGAGGGUGCCAGCUAACGGCUGGUCGGGGUAACCCGAAGGAAAGUGCCACAGAAACAAACCGCCGUCAUGCUCUCACGAGCGUUGACGGUAAGGGUGAAAUGGUGCGGUAAGA
rnacentral:RNase_P_RNA from 1 species